CGCAGUUCGUGGCUGACGGUUGCCAGGAAGUCGUCUUUCAGGCGGCUGGCGCGCUCGGCUUCUUCGCGUGCGCGGGAUUCGGCUUCGAGCAACUGCGU
rnacentral:tRNA from 1 species